rnacentral:lncRNA from 1 species
AUAAACAACACAAAUAUAUGGAAUCCUAAAGCAAAUAUGUGAAUGGUUCCAAAGAAAGAACAAGACUAGAGCCAUGAAAACAACAUGGUUUGGACUUGAAAAUGAGAUAAUAAAGAAUAACACAGGGAGAACAAAUAAAAGAAAUAAGAUAGGUAGGACCAAUAAACUUAGCCUUUGUAGAACCAAAUCUCUUGAUACCAAAUGAUAGACUCCUCCUUAAGCUAGGUUGGGCCAAAACAGGAAGAUGAGACCAUGAAGGUGAGGUUGACGCGAAUGUAAGGGGUGGAUGGAGAGAAUGCUCUCGGUUUAUGAAUGUUUGUGGUAGGAUGAAGGUGUUUGGUGGUUCUCUUGAGAGGUUGGGCCAACUCUAGAGAAGGGUGCUGAAAGGAGAUCACAUGGGAUGCUCUAGCCUUGACUUGAGAAAAUAUAUGAUUGGACAAAUAUUUUGGCAGCAUAACAUUAUAAUUCUCAAAGUAGGUUUACAAGAGAGGAGAUACCUUUAUUUAUAAAUGAAGGUGUCUCCAAAGUAAACCAAAAUCCUAAAAUG